GCAAAGCAAGAAUCAUAUCCAGAGACACAGGAGUGAUUUGCUGUUUCUUUUUCCAGGUCAUCUUAUAAAUGAGGAAACUGAGGUCCAGCACUCCAUCCACUGCAAUACCUAGCUGCCCAAGGAGAAUCUCCCUGAUAAGGAUAACUUUAAAAAUCUGUGCUACAUUUUUCCUAACAGAUUCCCUUUUCCUGAAGAGGAGUGGAGGCUGCUUCUGGACAGAAAUGGCUGUUCCAUUUGCCCAGGACCCCAGUUCUACAAGAGAGAAUGUGAAAAGAGGAAGGAAAAAGGAAGAUGUGGAGAGGAAUGAUAAAUCCAAGCUGUUAAAUUGAGAAGUAGCUCAGGUUCAAGUCCCAGCUCAAAAGCAACUACCUCCAAGAAG
rnacentral:lncRNA from 1 species